rnacentral:rRNA from 1 species
AUUGAACGCUGGCGGCAGGCCUAACACAUGCAAGUCGAACGUGAGGCGGACGGGUGAGUAAUGUCUGGGAAACGGCGCGAUGGAGGGGGAUAACUAAUGGAAACGGUAGCUAAAACCGCCUCCCAGGGGAUGUGCCCAGAUGGGAUUAGCUAGUAGGUGGGGUAGCGGCUCACCUAGGCGACGCUCCCGAGCUGGUCUGAGAGGAUGACCACCAACACUGGGACUGGGUCACGGUCCAGACUCCUACGGGAGGCAGCAGUGGGGAAUAUUGCACAAUGGGGGCCAGCCUGAUGCAGCCAUGCCGCAUGUGUGACGAAGGCCUUCGGGUUGUAAAGUACUUUCAGCGGGGCGGCGUUACCCGCAGAAGAAGCACCGGCUAACUCCGUGCCAGCAGACGCGGUAAUAC